GCCGCUUCCCAGGGUUCCACAGUGGCCCGAGUCAAAAUGGGCGACUACCAUUACUACGGAUAUGGUACAAAGAUUGACUAUGAGACAGCGGCUAGUCAUUAUCGCCUGGCCUCGGAACAACAGCACAGUGCGCAGGCUAUGUUUAAUCUGGGUUACAUGCAUGAGCAAGGCCUCGGCCUCAAACAGGAUGUGCAUUUAGCCAAGAGGUUUUAUGACAUGGCAGCUGAAACAAGCGUGGAUGCCCAUGUCCCUGUGACUCUAGCCUUGAUCAAACUAGGAUUAUUUUACGGUCUAGAGGUAUUUAGCAAAGAGAUGGAGGACUACCAAAGACUGUUCACUAGGUUGGACCCCCGCUUCCUGCUGGGACCUGACUGGGACAUCUAUCUAAUGACAUUCCUGGCUCUUUUACUCGGGUUCAUUGUAUUACUACGCAGGGUCAGGUGACACAGGCACUAUUUACAGGAGUGAAAUCAACAAUAGGCCAUUAUUACAUGAAUUUGAAAAUCCAGUGUUUUUAUUCAGUCUUUCUAAUUUAGUAAUAAAUGAAAAACAUAUUAUAAUUCUAUACAAUGUGUACAUGUAGCAAGUCAAAUUCCAAGUCAUAAGAAUCAAGAAUAAACAAUAAAAAUGGGUUUAUAUAGAACUAAAGUAGAGGAAUGGAGGAUUGAUUUUUUGAAAGUCCUCAAAAUAUUCUCUUUUUCAACAUUCUGUGGGUGAGGAUGUUUAAAUCACUCAUUUUUUAGCAUCAUUAUAAACAGUAAUAACGGGGUUCCAUUGUGGAACAAAGCAUCUUGUAAAUCUAUGGAAUCUGAUGAUGUGUUUGAAAUUGAAAGAAAAACAUGUGAGCACGGACUUUGAAUUUUUUGAUGAAUGUUAAUUUUUUACAUUGUACAUUGAUUAACUGAGAUGCGUUUUUGUUGUGGUGUUGUACAAGACCUUUGUUUUCAUUUUUAAUCCACAAGAAGUGUGAAAGAGUGUGUGAGAUAGGAGUGCCAUAAAAGAGUGGGAAAAGGACUGCAUGUGUGAUUGUGGAUGUGAUCAGUGUGUGUAUGUGGAGUGAGGGUGAUUCUGUUGUUUGGUGCAUACGCAGAGAAAAUCUGAUCCUGUAUUUAUUUUGACAGGGAAUAAAUGAAUGAUAAAAAUUGAUAUUCC
rnacentral:misc_RNA from 1 species